rnacentral:rRNA from 1 species
CCUACGGGAGGCUGCAGUGAGGAAUAUUGGUCAAUGGCCGGAAGGCUGAACCAGCCAUGCCGCGUGAAGGUCAGUGCCCUAUGGGUUGUAAACUUCUUUUAUAUGGGAAUAAAAUGUUCCACGUGUGGGAUUUUGUAUGUACCAUAUGAAUAAGGAUCGGCUAACUCCGUGCCAGCAGCCGCGGUAAUACGGAGGAUCCGAGCGUUUUCCGGAUUUAUUGGGUUUAAAGGGAGCGUAGGUGGGUUGUUAAGUCAGUUGUGAAAGUUUGCGGCUCAACCGUAAAAUUGCAGUUGAAACUGGCAGUCUUGAGUACAGUAGAGGUGGGCGGAAUUCGUGGUGUAGCGGUGAAAUGCGUAGAUAUCACGAAGAACUCCGAUUGCGAAGGCAGCUCACUGGACUGCAACUGACACUGAGGCUCGAAAGUGUGGGUAUCAAACAGGAUUAGAUACCCGAGUAGUC